rnacentral:rRNA from 1 species
CGUUUUUUGAUUUUAAUUUAAGAUCGGGCCUGCCCGUUGAUUUAAAAAAUUGAAAGGCUGCGGUAUUUUAACUGUACGAAGGUAGCAUAAUCAUUUGUCUUUUAAUUGGAGGCUAGAAUGAAUGGUUUAAUGAAAGAUAAACUUUCUUUAAUUUAUAUUUUGAAUUUAAUUUUUUAGUUAAAAAGCUAAAAUUUUUUUAUAGGACGAGAAGACCCUAUAGAGAUUAACUCUAUUUAUAAUUUUAUAUUUUUUGUUUUUUAUAUAUAUAUUUAGAAUGUAGAGUUUUGUUGGGGUGACAUUAAAAUUUUAUUAACUUUUAAUAUUUAAUUCAUUAAUUUAUGUAUUUUUGAUCCUGAAUUUUUGAUUAUAAGAUAAACCUACCUUAGGGAUAACAGCGUAAUUUUUUCGGAGAGUUCAUAUCUAUGGAAAAGUUUGCGA